CAUUUUGGGGCAGUUUGGGGGAGUUUUGAGAACCUUUGGGACAAUUUUGGGGCAGUUUGGGAUAGUUUGGGGGAGUUUGGGGGAAAUUUGGGGAAACUUUGAGUCAAUUCGGGGCAGUUUUGGGCGAGUUUGGGGCAGUUUUGUGGUGGUUUGAGGGAGUUUGGGGCAGUUUUGUGUCACUUUGGGGGAGUUUUGGAAAACUUUGGGGCAGUUUGAGGAUCUGAAGCCCCCCCCUCAAUUAAUUCUCUCUCCACAGUGCCCCAGUGAUGGCAACACAGAAUGGCCAGCACAAUCCUGCACAGCCAGAAACCCGUGAUGGCGAGAAAAAAGAGGCCGCCCAGUACCCCUCGAACCCCCAGAAAAAUAAAUUAUCUGAGCAAUCCCACAGAGUCUGCAACUCAUUUUGGGGAGGGGGCACCCGAGGAAUUGAGGAGGGCAUCUCCUACCUUUUUACCGCUUGUUUUCUUCCCUGUUCCUUCCGUGUUUCUUGGCUCUUUUUCCACUCGUAGUUCUUGCUCUUUUCUCCCCUCACGCUUCCCGCCCUUUUUGUCCCCUCACGCUUCCCGCCCUUUUUGUCCCCUCACGCUUCCCGCUCUUUUUUCUCCUCACAAUUCCUGCUUUUUUUCCCCUCACAAUUUUGCUCUUUUUCCCCUCACAAUUCCUGCUUUUUUUCCCCUCACAAUUUUGUUCUUUUUCUCCUCACAAUUUUGCUCUAUUCCCCUCACAAUUUUGCUCUUUCUCCCCUCACAAUUUUGCUCUUUCUCCCCUCACAAUUUUGCUCUUUUUCCCCUCACAAUUUUGCUCUUUCUCCCCUCACAAUUUUGCUCUUUUCCCCCUCACAAUUUUACUCUUUUUCCCCUCACAAUUCCUGCUCUUUUUCCCCUCACAAUUUUGCUCUUUUUCCCCUCACAAUUUUGCUCUUUUCCCCCUCACAAUUUUGCUCUUUUCCCCUCACAAUUUUACUCUUUUCCCCUCACAAUUUUACUCUUUUUCCCCUCACAAUUCCUGCUUUUUUUCCCCUCACAAUUUUGCUCUUUCUCCCCUCACAAUUUUGCUCUUUUCCCCUCACAAUUUUACUCUUUUUCCCCUCACAAUUUUGCUCUUUUUCCCCUCACCUUCCUCUCCCUUUCCCCCUCAUUUUCCCUUCGUGUUCCCCCCUCACAUUUCUCCGUCGCACCCCAAAACAAGCUCCGUAAAUUCAACGCGUUUAAUUCUCCAGGUCAGGG
rnacentral:lncRNA from 1 species